GACGAACGCUGGCGGCGUGCUUAACACAUGCAAGUCGAACGGAGCUAUUUAUUUCGGUAGAUAGCUUAGUGGCAAACGGGUGAGUAACGCGUAGGCAACCUGCCCUCAGGAUGGGGACAACGGCUCGAAAGAGCCGCUAAUACCGAAUGACGUAACUCUUCCACAUGGAAGAGAUACUAAAGAUGGGUCAAACCAUCGCCUAAGGAUGGGCCUGCGUCUGAUUAGCCAGCUGGUGAGGUAACGGCUCACCAAAGCGACGAUCAGUAGCCGGUCUGAGAGGAUGAACGGCCACAAUGGGACUGAGACACGGCCCAUACUCCUACGGGAGGCAGCAGUGGGGAAUCUUCCGCAAUGGGCGAAAGCCUGACGGAGCAACGCCGCGUGAGUGAAGAAGGUCUUCGGAUCGUAAGGCUCUGUUGUCGGGGACGAAAGGAAAGGGGAGGCAAUGCCCUUUUCAAGACGGUACCCGAC
rnacentral:rRNA from 1 species